rnacentral:tRNA from 3 species
GACCCCUUCGUCUAGAGGCCUAGGACAUCGCCCUUUCACGGCGGUAACACGGGUUCGAAUCCCGUAGGGGUCGCCA